GAUACUGCGUGAGGAACCCUUGAGCAAUGAAUGAAUAGAUAUCGGGAUGAGCAUUCCAAAUUUGUUCCAUACCCCUCUUUUGUCGAUUGGUUUGCAGUAGUUAGGCGGCUUCUAUUGCGUCUUUUCCUUUGGGGUUCUUUCUAAUGCAAUCUCAUACCAUGUCUCUGUUUCUCUAGAAGCAUUAAAUUCGACUUACAGGUUCUGUUUUUCAAUCGAAUUUGUUCCUUAAUGUUGAUGCUGAAUUCCUAGAGAUUCAAUUUGAAUAUUUCAAUUCAAGGUGUUUCCUUCAUUGAAUUCGAUCCGAAAACAAUCAAUUCAAUCUUCAAGAUAUUGCCAUCUUGAUCGAUGUUGCUAUUCAUAGAAUUUCAAAUUAGUGAAUUACGAUUGAGCUUAGUUCAUGAAGAUUUCAAGAUUCAGUUUUUAAUUGAGGUUCUAGUAUUGUUGAUCUCAUGAUUGAUUACUAUCAUGAUUGGUUGAAUUUCUACUGUUUUUCAAUCAAAUUUGUUCCUAAUAUUGAUGCUGAAUCCCUAGAGAUUCAAUUUGAAUAUAAGGUGUUUUCUUUAUUGAAUUUGAUCUGAAAACAGUCAAUUCGAUUUUCAGGAUAUUGCCAUCUUGAUCAAUGUUGCUAUUUAUAGAAUUUCAAAAUAUUGAAUUUACAAUUGAGCUUAGUUCAUAAAGAUUUCAAGAUUCAGUUUUUAAUUGAGGUUCUACUAUUAUGGAUCCCAUUUGUAACACAUCGGGAUUCUUGGGUUUCGUAUUCGUUUUUUCGAUCAAUUUUGCUCCCUGAUUGAUUUAGAGUCUGUAGCGAUUAAACUUAUGGAUCUAAAGCCUUAAACUUGUUUGUAUAUGCAAUUCAAUUUCAUCUCUGGGUAUUGUGUUUCAUCUUUUUUUGUUCAUGAUUAAGCCUAUGUUCAUGAGUCAAAAUUCAUAUCUAGAGUACUACUGUAUUACAUUAAUGUAUUGGUUGAAUUUUGUUAUUAUUUAAGAUCAAUUAUCACGUCAGAUUUCUAUAUGCUCGAGUGAAAUCCAAAUAGCGAUCAAUCGAUCUAAAUUGUCUGUAGCUCCUGAGGUUAAGUUCUCAUUAUUCUCGACGGAUUUCUAAAAGCAAGAGCAGCAACAAGGUCAUACCUUUGCUGGUCUAGUAAUGCUUACUUACUUAUUUUGGUUUUCAUCAGAUUUCUGGUUUUUUUUCUCAAUGAUGUACAAAAAGAUGGCUAGUCUGAUAACCCAUACUUAACCUUGGUUUUAAAUCGAGGCACUUGGCUGAGAGGAACCAUUGCUUACUUAUAUAAUACCAUAUCUUUUAACUCUGUUUUUCAUUUCAGUUUUUGUUUUAAUGAAAAGGUUUCUCAACUGUGUUUAUAUGUUUCUAUAGUCAUUUGAAUUUGAAAAAACAGAGUUUUACACUUUCGUGUUUGUAGUUAUAUAGUUCGUUAACAUUUGAAUCUAUGCAGUGGCAAAACCACCUAGGAUUGGCUUCUGUUCUCUUGAUUUCGAUAUGGGAUACAGAUGCCCGAUACUAAGUAUCUAUAAAAUGCAGGUAUACUGCUGACGUAAUUGGGUAAUACAUUUUAAUUUUGGUUGGUGGGAUAAUAAGUUUUAAUUUUGUGUGAGUUAAAAAUGCCUAGAUUGUGGGGAAAGGUAAUUUAAGAUUUUUUUGCAUCUGAAUUGCAUGUCCAAUGUUUUAAUGUACAAUGUGGUUGAGGGCGUGUGAGAAUCUGUAACAGACGUAAAAGGAGGAACAGUUGUGCCGAUGAUUCUAGGAAAUUGCCAGGACUACAGGGGUUGGUGCAGCUUGGAAGGUGGCCGAUGUAGAGUCUGGGCAUCAUCCAUAUCUUCGGCCUUGGAACCGUCGGACUUGCGACGAUUAUGGACUGUGCUUGAUGCAUGUCCGUUCUGAUGAAUGAAGGUACAAUUGCAGACCUCAAAGAAGAGAUAGGAACUAGGAAGAAUAUUAGGGGUAAAGCAAGCAGAAAAAUAUGGAAUCUAAUCCAUCUCGCACCGUGAUCGUAAAGGUUUACCAUGCAGUAUGCAUUUUCAGAAGGUUCACUAACUUAGUGAAAAAAGUUAGUGUAAGAGUGCUGCAAGAUAAAUCAAUGGCUUACUCUACAAAUUCAGGUGUCCGCGAGAGAAGUGUGGAUCAACGCCAUUCCAGUCUAUUUCACGGGCAUUCCACCGUGGCAUCCUAAGAAUCAUGUGGGACGAUAAAUGUUUCCGUCGAAACACCAAUGGGAAUCUUAAGGCGGUGUCAUUGCAGGAUUCACGUAUUACGUCAACAUUUUUGGUGGCUGUGGUUGUUGGUCUGUUUGAGUACGCAGAGUACCACAGACCUGAUGGUAUUAUUGUAUACAAAAUCUAUAUCUUAGUAGCCAAGAGCAGGGUCAGGAGCGUCAUCGAGAAUGGGAAUCAAGAACCAUAAAAUUUUCCAAAAAUGAAAUUUGAGGAGCGAGUUGGAAGCGUAAAUUAGAAACUUAACCUUGAGAGGAUUUGACCUGCUAUAUUGAAGAAAAAAGCAGCCCUGUGACGUGAGUUACCCCCAAUCGAGCUAGACACCCUGCCCGCUUGUCGAAGAAUUUCACGCUGUGAAGUGGGAUCUUCUCCUGCAUUUAGACGUCGUCGAAAGAAACGGACUGGCAUAAUUUCACGUUGGGUGACCCUCAGCCUGAACACACUUGAGAAAUGCUGUAAGAUGGCAGUUGUGUCUGGUUCCCAGUCCAUCUUGAAGAAAUAGAUGGCUACAGCUGCUCCCCCAGAUACUCCUGCCACCACCAAGGAAGAAGUUAUUCUGUCUACCUUCUCAUCUUCGGUUUCAUCAGUUGGGGGCCAUAUAGUGUUGACGAUUGCCAACCCUGAAAUGCCGGCUGCUGUGACAGUGAGGUACGUCCUGACACGAUUUGUGGCCAUUUCCUGCAAACAUUUGGACAAAGGAGAACGAGGAUAUUUGGUUAAAAUCACACAUGUUCCUCUGGUCAAAAAAAUACAGUACAAGUAAUCAAUCUUACAACAUUCAACAUGUCCUGAAAAUCAUUUCAUUUCAUUUGUGCAAGGUUUGAACCUAAACUAUUCUCUAGUCUUAGAUCAACUUCCCUUUACCUCAACUUCAAGGUUUAUGGUUUCGAUUCUAACCGUGUUCGUGGUGAAAUGGCUAAGUCGAUUUGACAAGCACUAGACCUACCGUUAAACUACACAAGAAUAUACCUGUCGGAUAUAAUACUGGUUGGCGUUAAUCGAAUUAUCUAUCUUGAUUUUGCUAAGUUGUGACUGCACCAGAAUAUUGUCACGCGAAUUUUACAAAAUAUUUCAUAGACACGUUCUGGUCCGACUCAGAUUUAGCUGAAACUUUCAAGGGUAUGGAACCUUGCUUUUUUAACACAGGAGUAAUGGUGGUUGAUGUGGAGAGGAGGAGGAGGGUGUCCACAAAAGGUUGAAGUAUUUUAACACAAGAGUAAUGGUGGUUGAUGUGGAGAGGAGGGAAUACACAAAAGGUUGAAGAUUGGAUGGGUGUUCAAAACAAAACAGGAUUUAUCACUUGGGUUCAUUACCGCCAUUUCUGCUUGUUCUAGCUGGUAAUGUUGAAGCUGUUGAGCAUAGAUGGAACCAACAUAGACUUGGUGGUGUUGAUGAUAUGAUGAUGAUUUAAACUAAAGGAAUGGACACAUAUAAAGAACAACACCCUACUCUGAUGUCAACCCAUUUUUAUUAGGGUUUUUAACCAUUGAUUAAAGAUUUGUACCUAUAUUGUAACUAUGGACAUCCUUGUUAAAUGAAGUUAUGUCAUCAAAUGAGACCUAA